UACGUAGGGUGCAAGCGUUGUCCGGAAUUAUUGGGCGUAAAGAGCUCGUAGGCGGUCUGUUGCGUCGGCUGUGAAAACCCGGGGCUCAACUCCGGGCCUGCAGCCGAUACGGGCAGACUAGAGUUCGGCAGGGGAGACUGGAAUUCCUGGUGUAGCGGUGAAAUGCGCAGAUAUCAGGAGGAACACCGGUGGCGAAGGCGGGUCUCUGGGCCGAGACUGACGCUGAGGAGCGAAAGCGUGGGGAGCGAACAGG
rnacentral:rRNA from 1 species